rnacentral:rRNA from 1 species
AUUGAACGCUGGCGGCAUGCUUUACACAUGCAAGUCGAACGGUAACAGGCCGCAAGGUGCUGACGAGUGGCGAACGGGUGAGUAAUGCAUCGGAACGUGCCCAGUCGUGGGGGAUAACUACUCGAAAGAGUAGCUAAUACCGCAUACGAUCUAUGGAUGAAAGCGGGGGACCGUAAGGCCUCGCGCGAUUGGAGCGGCCGAUGUCAGAUUAGGUAGUUGGUGGGGUAAAGGCUCACCAAGCCAACGAUCUGUAGCUGGUCUGGGAGGACGACCAGCCACACUGGGACUGAGACACGGCCCAGACUCCUACGGGAGGCAGCAGUGGGGAAUUUUGGACAAUGGGCGCAAGCCUGAUCCAGCAAUGCCGCGUGCAGGAAGAGGGCCUUCGGGUUGUAAACUGCUUUUGUACGGAACGAAACGGCUCUGGUUAAUACCCGGGGCUAAUGACGGUACCGUAAGAAUAAGCACCGGCUAACUACGUG